rnacentral:rRNA from 1 species
GAUGAACGCUGGCGGCGUGCCUAACACAUGCAAGUCGAGCGAUUCUCUUCGGAGAAGAGCGGCGGACGGGUGAGUAACGCGUGGGUAACCUGCCCUGUACACACGGAUAACAUACCGAAAGGUAUGCUAAUACGAGAUAAUAUGCUUUUAUCGCAUGGUAGAAGUAUCAAAGCUCCGGCGGUACAGGAUGGACCCGCGUCUGAUUAGCUAGUUGGUAAGGUAACGGCUUACCAAGGCGACGAUAAGUAGCCGACCUGAGAGGGUGAUCGGCCACCUUGGAACGGAGACACGGUGCAAACUCCUACGGGAGGCAGCGGUGGGGAAUAUUGCACAAUGGGCGAAAGCCUGAUGCAGCAACGCCGCGUGAGCGAUGAAGGCCUUCGGGUCGUAAAGCUCUGUCCUCAAGGAAGAUAAUGACGGUACUUGAGGAGGAAGCCCCGGCUAACUACGUGCCAGCCGCCGCGGUAA